CUGCGGGCGUUGGUGGGGGGGCAGGGGGGAGCGCCGGUGCUGAGCACCAUCGGGCAGGGCGCUGAGAACGGGGCCUGUGCAAUCAUUAAAGCGAGGGGAACGCGGAGCUGCCGUCGGAUCCAACAGUCCGCGAACUGGGGACGCUUAGUGCGACUGCUAGGAGGCUCCUUUAAAGGAAGGUGCUGGGUUGCAUAACUGGUAGUGAACUUGAGGAGGCAGAUAGGCUCAGAAAAGUGAACAUAGGGAGGGUCAGGAAACUGAGUCAACAAAUUGACGGGUAAGGGAUCUGUAAGCAGAUGUUGAAGUGAAUGGACAGCAAUUCCAGCACCACAAAUCUCGCAGCUGCGCGUGCUGGAGAGUAUGAGAGGAUUGUUUUAGAGACAGCGGCUGGGCUCGUCUGCUGUCCUAGAGUAGCAUCUGCUGUUGCCACUGUCGGAGGCAGAGUACUGGGCAAAGGGGGCUGCUAGAUCUGACCCAUUUCUUUAUAUGCUCCAAAAGAAGCAGGACUUACACUGGUUUCUGGCUGUACGUGAGGAUUUAUCCUGACCUAUAAAGAGAUGCUUGACCUGCUGGCAGAAAACAGUUUGGAACAAGAUCAUGAAAACACAGCUUCAGGCUUGCUGCAGGAUCACUAUCUCGAUUCAUCUUGGAGAACUGAUAACAGUCUUCCAUGGACAUUGGACAGCAGCAUUAGUGAAGAAAACAGAGCUGUCAUUGAGAAAAUGUUGCUGGAAGAAGAAUAUUAUUUAUCUCAUAAAUCACUUUCUGAAAAAAUAUGGGUCAAUCAAAAGGAAGUGGAGAAAAGAUCUAUGAAAAGCCCACAUAAGAAAACUGGAAAAGUCAUGGUGCGAUCACCUACAAAAUCAGCUAGCUACUCGUUAAAGUGGACAUCAGAAGAAAAAGAACUGUUUGAACAAGGAUUGGUGAAAUUUGGGCGCCGGUGGACGAAAAUUGCCAAGUUGAUUGGAAGUCGUACUGUUCUACAAGUAAAGAGCUAUGCUCGGCAGUAUUUCAAGAACAAGGCAAAAAAUGGUGAUUCUGAAAAAGAAGAGCAAAGUCAGAUUGGUAGCAGUCUUCCCAUUGAAGAUGGGAUAAGGGUAGAAGCAUGGUCAUCUGGAAAUUUGAGAGGCCGUGCAGACCCCAAUCUGAAUGCAGUGAAAAUUGAAAAGCUGUCAGAUGAUGAAGAAGUAGACAUAACUGAUGACGUGGAUGAACUACUUUCUCCUACCUUCCAGCAAGAAACUGGAAAAUCUGAAUUAUCGGUUAUUUCAAAAAGCCCAGUUGAAGAAACAAAAGGAAUGGAACAUGGUUUUUCAUCUGUUGGACACAGUUCUGCGAUUUCUUUACCUAAAGAAGAUCCUCCACAUACCAAGCAAGAUACAGUGGAUGCAUUACUAUUUCCAGGUGUUGCAGCAACAUGUUCUCAGCACCUGAAUGGUGAUAAAUCUCUGAAUUUAGAUUACCAGCAAUACAAUAAUUUCAUUGAGAAAGCUGAACAAGGCAGACUAGUACCAUCUCGUGGUACUGGGCAAGUAACUGAUCAGGAGCUGAAUGAGGGGCAGAGAGACCUGGCUGAUAACGGGUUGCUUUUUCCUUCUUCCUGCCAAGCGGAUGAAGAUCAUCCAGAAGAAGCAGAGGAGCUUAAGGCACCCGAUCAAGAAGUGGAGGUUGACAGAAGCAUCAUUCUGGACGAAGAAAAGCAAGCUAUUCCUGAAUUUUUUGAAGGGCGCCAGGCCAAAACACCAGAGCGUUAUUUGAAAAUUAGGAAUUAUAUUUUGGAUCAAUGGGAGAGAUGUAAACCCAAAUACCUGAAUAAGACUUCAGUACGUCCAGGGCUCAAGAACUGCGGUGACGUUAACUGCAUUGGACGGAUCCACACGUACCUGGAACUAAUAGGAGCAAUUAACUUUGGCUGUGAACAGGCUGUCUAUAACCGACCCCAACCAGCUGAUAAAACACGGUCCAAAGAAGGCAAAGACACAGCGGAAGCAUACCAGCUUGCUCAGCGAUUGCAGUCCAUGCGUACAAGACGACGGCGAGUGCGAGACCCUUGGGGAAACUGGUGUGAUGCAAAGGAUUUGGAAGGACAGACAUUUGAGCAUCUGUCUGCUGAAGAAUUAGCGAGAAGAAGAGAGGAAGAAAAACUGAAACCUGCAAAAUCUAAAGGUUCAAGACAAAUAAAAAGUUCCUUUGAUCCCUUUCAGCUGAUACCAUGCUGUUUAUUCACUGAAGAAAAACAGGAGCCUUUUCAGGUGAAAGUGUCUUCUGAAGCACUUUUAGUAAUGGAUUUGCACUCUCAUGUGUCUAUGGCAGAAGUAAUAGGGCUUCUUGGUGGAAGAUACUCUGAAGCUGAUAAAACUGUAGAAGUUUGUGCAGCAGAGCCAUGCAAUAGCCUCAGUACAGGACUGCAGUGUGAGAUGGAUCCAGUAUCUCAAACGCAGGCCUCGGAAACACUGGCUGCCAGAGGUUACAGUGUUAUUGGAUGGUACCAUUCCCACCCGGCCUUUGACCCCAACCCCUCAAUACGAGAUAUUGACACUCAAGCUAAAUACCAGAGUUAUUUCUCCCGGGGUGGCGCCAUGUUCAUUGGAAUGAUUAUAAGUCCUUACAACCGAAAUAAUCCUCUUCCAUAUUCUCAGAUUACUUGCCUAGUAAUUAGCGAUGAGAUCAGCUCUGAUGGUUCCUACCGUCUGCCCUACAAAUUUGAAGUACAGCAGAUGUUGGAGGAACCUCAGUGGGAAUUAAUAUUUGAAAAAACAAGAUGGAUAAUUGAAAAAUACAGAUUCUGCCAUAGCAGUGUCCCCAUGAAUAAAAUUUUUCAUAGAGAUUCUGACCUGACUUGUUUGCAGAAACUUUUGGAGUGCAUGAGGAAGACUUUGGGCAAGGUAACAAACUGCUUCAUUGCUGAAGAGUUCUUGACUCAGAUAGAAAAUUUGUUCCUGUCCACAUACAAGAGUGACAAAAAGAGUAAUGAUGCCGAAGAAAAUGAGAAUGAAUGUUCAAAUGAAUUUCCAAUGUGAUGGCUUUAACAAAAAAAAUGGUGGAAUUCUGAUUUUUUUUUUUUUCUCAUUUUCUUCCCCUCCUCUCCUUCAUGUCAACUCUUUCAGACUGAUUAUCCAUUUUUAAUAGUAACUGUUACAGAGUCCCAUGUCAUCUUACUGUUAUGGUUUAAACAUACUUUGAAAAACUCCUAAUGUGUGUGAUCCGACUUAAUAUGAACAUCUUGUAAAAAAAACGAGUGCCACAGAAUCGAUCGAUUGACCAACAGUCCACCACUUGGGAAGAAGGACAACCUGGCAAGAAUUCUGAGCUUCAGUCUUCAAGGAGAGCUUGUCUUCUCUGAAGUCUUUCAGUUUGGGAACUUUCUAUUUUUUUAUCUACAGUGGAAGGUGCAGAACCUGAUCGUAUGAAAAUGGGAGCCCUUGAUACUCAGUGAUUCUCCCAACGCAGAUUCAAGAGCAAUGGGCUUAAAAAUAUUGGAGGAUGUUCCAUGCUCUCUUCUGUGCUCACAUCUGCUGGUGCGCAGCUUUAGACCCCCCUACUAUGUAUAAUUUACAAACUCGGUGUAUCCAUCUCUAUAAGGCAUGUUACUUGGUCUGCAUAUAUUCUCAAAUGUCAUCUUUGGGACUUCCUAAUUAAAAAUAUUGCAUGGCUUUCUGUAUUUCUAGUUUAAACUACACUCUUGAUGAGAAGGCGUUCCUUCCCCGCUUAGUCGUGGCGUGGUCUGCAGUGUAAGGUAUUCUUUCGCAGUUUUGCAUAGGUUACUCUCUAGAAAAAUCACACGGUAUAAAUGUAUGUACUGAAAGCUGUAACUAGUUCUGAUUUGUAGGAAGAGCAUUUUGAACCUCUUGUGUAACAGCGAUAUGAAGUAGUUAAUAUUCAUUGUCCACAUACAGUCUAUUUCCAACUAUUUAAGGACGGAUGUCAGUACUACCCAGGUAGUGGUAACAAUGUGCUGGCUGCGUCUCUGUUUAAUGAUUAAAAUGAGUUAAAGUAAUACAGUUGUAUUAAUUGGAUUUAACAGUGAUGUUACAUAUGAAAAGUUUUGAGUAAAACAUACUUUUGAAGCAGUUUGUCUCUUGAGAAGAGGCCAUGGUGCAGUAUUGAGCCUUCAAUAUGCACACAAAGAUUCCAGAUUUCUCCUAAGAGUUCAUUAGCAGGGUGGUGUGGGAGCAGAUGUAACUGCUAGUACCAUUGUAAUCCAGUAUUAUCACACGCUUUUUAUGGGAAUUGGAAAUACCACAUUUGUGAUACUAAGUAAUAAUUUUGUUGGCAGGAGCCAUGGUAAGAAAAUAACAUCGUUUUCAUAACUUACUUUGACUGUGUGGUUAAUUCAAGUUUGGAAGUUGCAUGCUUCUAAGGAGAUAAAAAUCUAGUUUACUAAUACUGCCAAUUCUGCUACCAGACACAUAUAAGGCAUUAAAUUUUUUUAUUGUGAAGCUUUUCUUGUCCCCCCUAGCUAUUCCUUUUGUGCUGGCCUUGUUUUAGCAUACCUGUUGUGGACGAACAUGCUGUUUAUUUAGGUAAGAUCAGCUGUUAAUGGUUGCUCAGGAGAUGGGAAGUGGUUGAGCAGCAGGUAGAACUACACAGUUUAAACUGGAAGAAUCAACAGUUUAAAAAAAAACAAACCAACCAACCCACCCCUAAGAUAUAACUGCUGGCAAAUAUCCCUUACAGGCAUUUGUUGGCUGAGGCAAGUUUAGCUAUCCCAGUUAGCAGCAGUGCUUCUCCACAGGGAUGUACACCCUGUGUUCCAGGGGAAGGGAAUGGUGGUUUUUUGUGGUGGUGUGUUUUUUUGUUUGGUGGGUUUGGUUUUUUUUUUUUUUAAAUAAGUAACUUCCCAAGAACAAUUCAGUUGAGGAAAACAAACAAACAAAAUCCAAAUCCCAACAAAACCAAACCCAAAACCAGCCAAACAAAGGAAGCUAACACCAUUGGUAUUGGGGUUUUUUAACUUUUGCUUGCUGCUUUGAUAUUCUUGACUGGUGGUUCACAAGAGUCUACUAAUAAAGACUGGGUACACAGUACCUUGAAAGAUGCGUUCCAUAUUUGUAACAGCUUCUUGUCUCUUGGGCAUUGGAUAUGGUAUUUCUUUAUUCCAAGUUGUAUCGAUAACCAGGUGAUUCAGCAAGGUUUAAUACCGCUAGAGGGAGCUUUGUCAUAGCUGAUACAAAAAAGGGUUUGAACUAAGCACAAAACUGUUCCUACUACUGCGUGUAAACUUCUGGCUAGUGAUUAAAUUUUAUGGGCAGUAGCCAUGUACCUCGGUAUAGAUUUGUUUCUUUCAUUUGUUCUUAAAACCCUCUGCUUUAGUCUCCUUCAGAAAACUAUCCCCUGGUACUUGGUGGCAGGGAUGCCAGGAUGGUAGAUUGGUGUUUUCCACACUGUUUUCACAGAGAAGCCUGGCUGUAGGAUCACGUAAGUAAUGUAACAGGUUUGUUCUCAUGGGCAACUCCAGUGAAUUUGGAAGGUGGUCACCAAGUACCUUUCAAACAGUUGUUUUCAUUACCCAAAUUUGAUGCAAGUGCGUUGGUUCUAGCUCUAUUGCUGCCAGCAGCAGGAGCCAGAUUAACUCUUCCCUGCUGUGCUAGCAGAGAAUUUGGUCUGCUGGGUGUUACUGAGCUAUGAAUACAUCGUGUUGUGUAGGGGUAAGAGACGCCAUGGAGGCGGAAAGCAACCAGCACGGAGUAAGGCACACCUCGAAAGGCGUGCUGUGGCAGAGCAGCGUGCCCCGGCGUCUGCUGGGGAAGGGAAAGUGCUGCGCUGUUGCCGCAAACCCCACCAUGGAGGCGAGGGCCGCCAGGAUGUGUGCGGGGUGACUUCAUCCGGCCCCACAGAGCCGGCACAUGGGAAGUAGCUGGUUGUUAACAUCCCAGUGAACAUUGUAAUCAUAUUUGAUACUGAACGAAGUAUUUAAUGGCCUAGAUAAAAGCAUUCUGGUUGUUUAAUUGGAAAUGUCUUGCUGUUUUACAUAGACCUAGUGCCCUACUUUUAUGAGAUUUAGAAUUGUGCUGAGAAACUGUUUCCAUGGAAGCAGAGAUCACUAAAGAAAUAAUGCACUCCACAUUUCCUGCAGGAUUAUUCCUUUUACAGCCUGCUGUUCUAAAUAAUUAACUCUUAUAGUGCCAUUACAGCUUAGCAUGGAUUAAAGCAAAUAAUACUUUUUUCAGUGGUUACAGAGACAUAACAUAUACAUUUUUUUAUGUAUGAAUAUAUAUGUAUAGAGACAUUUGGAAAGACUUAUCUUUAAAAUAAAUGUUGUCUCCUUAUUUACAGAGGGGGAAAUCGGUAUAAAAACAUCAGUAGAAAAGUACCCUUUCAUUUUGGCAAAUCAUGCAGCUCUGUUAGGGAAACUUAAGAUUAUUCCUUCUUUGCCCUUCUCUUGCCACUGUUCUACACUUUUUGCUUAGUGAUGGGUAUAUUCUAAAACCAUCGUUGUGCUUCUGGCCACCUUUGAGGGAAGAGACAAUGCAGUUUUUAAUUAAGGUAAUGGCAAUGAGAAUCUUCCACCAGUAGGGAAAACAGACCCGUUUAGUUACCUAUGUUUUUUCUUCCGUAAGUUACUUUUGACAAAACAGUUAAUUUUUCUCUACUUCACGGUAAGUACCUGUAAAAAGGGGAAACUGUCAAAUAAUAAUACGAGGCACAUCUGCAAACAUCCUACAAGCAAACUCCUAUUUACCAAAAAGUCCCAUUGCUGCCCACCCAUAUAGUGCUUUCUAAGCACAAGGGCAGCGCAGCUCUUGGCCGUAUAGAAAUUGCCAUUGCUUCACUGAAGCUGGUCGUGAGCUGCAAGUGCACAGCAGUUGAGGCUCUCCUCCAGAGAGAAGAGAAACAAAACCUACUCUCUCUAAAGUUCAUAAUGUGAAACAAAAUAAGGAUAAUAUAUGAGUAUGUAGGUGAUGGUUAAAUGGAUUUUUACUUUCAAAAAGGGAUGUGAAAUUUAAAAAAAAAAUUAUUUUAAGUAAAUGAAUGACUUAAAAAUUCAAAAUGGGAAAAGAGUUACUAAGCUAUUAUCAAAGAAUCAUCAAUAUGGCAACUUGAAAUACGUAGCAAUUUUUGUAAUAAUUUUAACUGUGGAUCUCAAUUAUUUUCUAAGAAAGGUAACUACUAUUAUUUUUGUAACUACUAUUAUUUUUACCCGAAGGAAGGGGAAAGGGAGAGGUGUAACAAUGUGCUGUAAAGGAGCCAGGAAUAAUUUGAAGAACUCGCCUCAUCUUUGCUCCCUCAAGUAGUGUGUGCUUUUUGUGGCUUAGUUAGGAAUAGCUUGAGCUGCAAAGUUCAACUCCAGAUUGUGCCCUUCUCUAGCAGUAGAGGGUUUUUACCUCUGGAGCUCUAACUUUAAACCUGUACUGUGUUACAAAUACCCACUGGCAGCCAGGGUAACUUCCUGCUGCUCACACAGAUGCAAGCCAUCACUACAAGUAGCCCAGCUUGCAUUGAUUUGAAGUGGGGCUGGCCUUCAGGAAAACAGCAGCAUGGGUGAAAGCAGCUUGACCGCAAGGCAGAGUGCAAGUUGUGUGGGUGGGAGAAUGUCAUAUAUGCUGUUCUGUGGUUGUUACUGGUCCCAAAAUAAUGAUUUAUAAAGUGUCUGACAGUGUUUGACAGAUCAGAUGAAUGGGACUUGCUUAAUGACAAACUGGAAAAUCUCUUUUGGCUGCUGCCAAAACACAUGGAAAGGGUAACUCAUGCUUUGUAGAUUGUUAGGGCGCUUGGGAGCUGCCGGAGCGUACUGUGAAAGGCAUUACUCAAAGUUCACAUUGAAAAAUUUCUUCAGUAACAGCUAACAACUUUGUAAGGGUAAUGCAAGCAUGAAAAUCAUCAUUCCUAGUACUGCCUUGGGAUGAGUAUGUGCCAAAGGAAAGCGGGGAGAGCAGCGUUCCAUGCUGGAAGAUGAGACUGCGCUCCUGUGCUCUGUAGGUAGGAGAGCAGCCAUCAAAUUGAUGAACAGUCAUUCCUCCUGAACUGGCAGCUACUCCAGGCAGCAUACGUAAAACUCCAAAAGGCUUUAUUUUGUAAAUAUAUGAAGGUAGAAAGGAGGAAGUCCAUAACCGAGAAGUAUCUAGACAAUGGAAUGAUACAGAAGCUGU